UCGCGAAUCAUUCACAAUGGACGCAAGUCUGAUGAUGCCACGCCGCGUGCGGGAUGAAGGCCCUUUGGGUUGUAAACCGCUGUCAAGGGAGGGGAAACACCUAGUGUUAACAGCGCUAGGCUUGACUGCUCCCUAAAGGAAGCCCCGGCAAAACAUGUGCCAGCAGCCGCGGUAAUACAUGUGGGGCAAGCGUUGUUCGGAAUUACUGGGCAUAAAGGGUGCGUAGGCGGUUUGUUAAGUCACUGGUGAAAGUUUGCGGCCCAACCGUAAAAUUGCCUGUGAUACUGGCGAACUUGAGUGCGUGAGGGGUAGGGGGAACGAGCAGUGUAGCGGUGAAAUGCGUAGAUAUUGCUCGGAAGGCCGGAGCCGAAGGGGCCCUACUGGUACGUAACUGACGCUGAGGCACGAAAGCGUGGGGAGCAAACAGGAUUAGAUACCCACGUAGUCCCUGAGCGGGCUGGCAAGGCGCAU
rnacentral:rRNA from 1 species